rnacentral:rRNA from 1 species
CCCCUUGUGGUCGGUGGACAGGUGGUGCAUGGUUGUCGUCAGCUCGUGUCGUGAGAUGUUGGGUUAAGUCCCGCAACGAGCGCAACCCUCGUCCUAUGUUGCCAGCGGGUCAUGCCGGGGACUCAUGGGAGACUGCCGGGGUCAACUCGGAGGAAGGUGGGAUGACGUCAAAUCAUCAUGCCCCUUAUGUCUUGGGCUUCACGCAUGCUACAAUGGCCGGUACAAAGGGCUGCGAUACCGCGAGGUGGAGCGAAUCCCAGAAAGCCGGUCUCAGUUCGGAUUGGGGUCUGCAACUCGACCCCAUGAAGUCGGAGUCGCUAGUAAUCGCAGAUCAGCAACGCUGCGGUGAAUACGUUCCCGGGCCUU